rnacentral:rRNA from 1 species
GACGAACGCUGGCGGCGUGCUUAACACAUGCAAGUCGAACGGAAAGGCCCUGCUUUUGUGGGGUGCUCGAGUGGCGAACGGGUGAGUAACACGUGAGUAGCCUGCCCUUGACUUUGGGAUAACUUCAGGAAACUGGGGCUAAUACCGGAUAGGAGCUCCUGCUGCAUGGUGGGGGUUGGAAAGUUUCGGCGGUUGGGGAUGGACUCGCGGCUUAUCAGCUUGUUGGUGGGGUAGUGGCUUACCAAGGCUUUGACGGGUAGCCGGCCUGAGAGGGUGGACGGCCACAUUGGGACUGAGAUACGGCCCAGACUCCUACGGGACGCAGCAGUGGGGAAUAUUGCACAAUGGGCGGAAGCCUGAUGCAGCAACGCCGCGUGCGGGAUGACGGCCUUCGGGUUGUAAACCGCUUUCGCCUGUGACGAAGCGUGAGUGACGGUAAUGGGUAAAGAAGCACCGGCUAACUACGUG